GACUGCUUCUGUGGCCUAGUGGUUAGAGCGUGGUGUUUCUUAUAUGCGGGAGGUCACGGGUUCGAACCCCGGCUGAGUUA